UACGUAGGGUGCGAGCGUUGUCCGGAAUUAUUGGGCGUAAAGAGCUCGUAGGCGGUUUGUCGCGUCGACUGUGAAAACUGGGGGCUUAACUCUCAGCUUGCAGUUGAUACGGGCAGACUUGAGUUCGGUAGGGGAGACUGGAAUUCCUGGUGUAGCGGUGAAAUGCGCAGAUAUCAGGAGGAACACCGGUGGCGAAGGCGGAUCUCUGGGCCGAUACUGACGCUGAGGAGCGAAAGCGUGGGGAGCGAACAGG
rnacentral:rRNA from 1 species